rnacentral:piRNA from 1 species
UCUCGUGCAGGAGAGCUCUGCGAUGC